CUAUUCCUCAUCCUUCCCAUCUCAACAUCAUGAAAUUCAUCUUCGCCCAGUUCACUCCCAUAUCCAUACUCUUCUCGCCUUUCCCUCCUAGGCUCCCAUCUAUCCGGUCCUCUGGCAUUGGACACAUCCACUCGAUGCCCCCUACUAAGAUUGGCCACCGAUGUAUCUAACCUAUUCAUCCAAGCCUCUUGCUUCUCCAACUGUUCUCUCAUAUCUCCAAACGCCCUUUGAAACAUUUGCACCAAAUCCUCCGAUGCGUUGUUAUUGUUGCCUUGUCGGCUUGAGUUUGAUUCUGCCCUUUCUGACAUCCUAAUACUAAAAUUUUAUUUAACUGCCUCACCAAAGUCACUCGGAAACACACAAUGGCUUUUACCCUCUAUUGAGCUCACCUCUCUGCCUUUUACCACUCAGUUCUUUCAACAAUUGCUUCUAAAGACAAUCAACGAACUCAAUCAAUCAAUC
rnacentral:lncRNA from 1 species